GAUAAACGCUGGCGGCGUGCCUAAUACAUGCAAGUCGAGCGAACGGACGAGAAGCUUGCUUCUCUGAUGUUAGCGGCGGACGGGUGAGUAACACGUGGAUAACCUACCUAUAAGACUGGGAUAACUUCGGGAAACCGGAGCUAAUACCGGAUAAUAUUUUGAACCGCAUGGUUCAAAAGUGAAAGACGGUCUUGCUGUCACUUAUAGAUGGAUCCGCGCUGCAUUAGCUAGUUGGUAAGGUAACGGCUUACCAAGGCAACGAUGCAUAGCCGACCUGAGAGGGUGAUCGGCCACACUGGAACUGAGACACGGUCCAGACUCCUACGGGAGGCAGCAGUAGGGAAUCUUCCGCAAUGGGCGAAAGCCUAACGGAGCAACGCCGCGUGAGUGAUGAAGGUCUUCGGAUCGUAAAACUCUGUUAUUAGGGAAGAACAUAUGUGUAAGUAACUGUGCACAUCUUGACGGUACCUAAUCAGAAAGCCACGGCUAACUACGUGCCAGCAGCCGCGGUAAUACGUAGGUGGCAAGCGUUAUCCGGAAUUAUUGGGCGUAAAGCGCGCGUAGGCGGUUUUUUAAGUCUGAUGUGAAAGCCCACGGCUCAACCGUGGAGGGUCAUUGGAAACUGGAAAACUUGAGUGCAGAAGAGGAAAGUGGAAUUCCAUGUGUAGCGGUGAAAUGCGCAGAGAUAUGGAGGAACACCAGUGGCGAAGGCGACUUUCUGGUCUGUAACUGACGCUGAUGUGCGAAAGCGUGGGGAUCAAACAGGAUUAGAUACCCUGGUAGUCCACGCCGUAAACGAUGAGUGCUAAGUGUUAGGGGGUUUCCGCCCCUUAGUGCUGCAGCUAACGCAUUAAGCACUCCGCCUGGGGAGUACGACCGCAAGGUUGAAACUCAAAGGAAUUGACGGGGACCCGCACAAGCGGUGGAGCAUGUGGUUUAAUUCGAAGCAACGCGAAGAACCUUACCAAAUCUUGACAUCCUUUGACAACUCUAGAGAUAGAGCCUUCCCCUUCGGGGGACAAAGUGACAGGUGGUGCAUGGUUGUCGUCAGCUCGUGUCGUGAGAUGUUGGGUUAAGUCCCGCAACGAGCGCAACCCUUAAGCUUAGUUGCCAUCAUUAAGUUGGGCACUCUAAGUUGACUGCCGGUGACAAACCGGAGGAAGGUGGGGAUGACGUCAAAUCAUCAUGCCCCUUAUGAUUUGGGCUACACACGUGCUACAAUGGACAAUACAAAGGGCAGCGAAACCGCGAGGUCAAGCAAAUCCCAUAAAGUUGUUCUCAGUUCGGAUUGUAGUCUGCAACUCGACUACAUGAAGCUGGAAUCGCUAGUAAUCGUAGAUCAGCAUGCUACGGUGAAUACGUUCCCGGGUCU
rnacentral:rRNA from 1 species